AUUGAACGCUGGCGGCAGGCCUAACACAUGCAAGUCGAAUGGUAACAGGAAACAGCUUGCUGUUUCGCUGACGAGUGGCGGACGGGUGAGUAAUGUCUGGGAAACUGCCUGAUGGAGGGGGAUAACUACUGGAAACGGUAGCUAAUACCGCAUAACGUCGCAAGACCAAAGAGGGGGACCUUCGGGCCUCUUGCCAUCAGAUGUGCCCAGAUGGGAUUAGCUAGUAGGUGGGGUAACGGCUCACCUAGGCGACGCUCCCUAGCUGGUCUGAGAGGAUGACCAGCCACACUGGAACUGAGACACGGUCCAGACUCCUACGGGAGGCAGCAGUGGGGAAUAUUGCACAAUGGGCGCAAGCCUGAUGCAGCCAUGCCGCGUGUAUGAAGAAGGCCUUCGGGUUGUAAAGUACUUUCAGCGGGGAGGAAGGGAGUAAAGUUAAUACCUUUGCUCAUUGACGUUACCCGCAGAAGAAGCACCGGCUAACUCCGUG
rnacentral:rRNA from 1 species